UACAGAGGUGGCAAGCGUUGUUCGGAAUUACUGGGCGUAAAGGGCGCGUAGGCGGCCUACUAAGUCAGACGUGAAAUCCCCCGGCUUAGCCUGGGAACUGCGUCUGAUACUGGAAGGCUUGAGGAUGGGAGAGGGAUGUAGAAUUCCAGGUGUAGCGGUGAAAUGCGUAGAUAUCUGGAGGAAUACCGUGGCGAAGGCGGCAUCCUGGACCGACAUUGACGCUGAACGGCGAA
rnacentral:rRNA from 1 species